AGGACGAACGCUGGCGGCGUGCUUAACACAUGCAAGUCGAACGGUGAAGGAGAGCUUGCUCUCCGGAUCAGUGGCGAACGGGUGAGUAACACGUGAGUAACCUGCCCUUGACUCUGGGAUAAGCGUUGGAAACGACGUCUAAUACCGGAUACGAGCUUCAGCCGCAUGGCUAGGAGCUGGAAAGAAUUUCGGUCAAGGGAUGGACUCGCGGCCUAUCAGCUAGUUGGUGAGGUAAUGGCUCACCAAGGCGACGACGGGUAGCCGGCCUGAGAGGGUGACCGGUCACACUGGGACUGAGACACGGCCCAGACUCCUACGGGAGGCAGCAGUGGGGAAUAUUGCACAAUGGCGCAAGCCUGAUGCAGCAACGCCGGCGUGGGGGACGAAGGCCGUUCGGUUGUAAACCGUCUUUAGUAGGAAGAAGACGAAGUGACGGUACCUGACGAAGAAAAAGCACCGGACUAACUACGUCGACCAGCGACGACCGACGGUAACUCUGGAGCGGCGUGGA
rnacentral:rRNA from 1 species